CUUAUGUAUAUCUAAAAAGUGUAGCAAUUUUUAAACAAUGCAAGAAGAUUGCUAUCUUUGACAAUAAAGAUUAAUGAAGUUUAAAUUCUAAGCCAUUCAACUAACAAUGGGAUGCAUAUCAUAUAUAGAUACUAAUUAGAUCUUAGUAAUUUUCAUUGAAUAAUUUUUUAAUAUGUGUUGCAAUAAUCAGAGCUGGUACUAGGAGGUAUCAAAGCUAAAGGCAAAGUAUGAGUCUCUACAAAGGACUCAGAGGCACUUGCUUGGGGAAGAUCUUGGACCAUUGAGCAUAAAGGAGCUGCAGAAUCUUGAGAAACAGCUUGAAGGUUCUUUAGCACAGGCCAGGCAGAGGAAGGUCAGUGCAAACACCUAUCUAUUAUCUUUCAUUUGCUUCUUUCUUUUUGUUCAAAUUUGUUCUUUGAUUGCUUUCCUUUAUCUUUUUUUUAUAUAUAAUUAUUUGGUUACUUUUCUUUGAUUGUAUAUAUAACAUGCCUGAUAAUAAAGGAUCUAAAAUUAAAUCAGUGGGUUAAUUAGGGUACAACCUUGUUUAACUUGAUUCAACAAAGUUUUGACUGUUAAAUUAAACAUCAUAUAAAGUUGAAAAGUGAAAGUAAGGGAAAGACAUAAAAGUAAAGAGAGGGGGAAAUGCUUAAUUACUUGGUAAUGAAACAUUAUCAUGCAAAAAAUUUAAACUGCUUUUUUUUUAAUUUCUUCUCACAGCACAAAGUUGAUCAACGCAAGCAAUAAAUUGUUAGAAAAAUAAUUGAGAAAUUUAUAGCAGUUCAGAAAAUAGAAAAGUAUCCCGUUUAGUUUCAGUUGACAAUCAUGUAACCUAUACUAAAAGACAGGGAUGCUUGUAUAGCGUAAUUGUCAACUGUUGGCUCGAAAGUGUAAGUACAUUUUCAAAAUUUUGGUGAGGCUUGCUUCCGUAGCAAAGGGGAAGAAAUGAAACAAACAUGAACAAUCAAAGUCUCAGGCAAGUUCUCAAGUUCUACUCAUAUCAUCUGUUGAUUUUAUCUGUAAAUAAGUAAACGAUGUUCUGUUGGUUAAGAUUGUGAUACUCUUCUCUUCACUUGACUAAAUUUUUACUUUUUAGCUAGUUGUUGAUGCCAAUAUAGACUAUAAUGCUCGGGAAGGGAGGAGCACAGUGGAGGUGAGCACCUUAAUCUCUAUAGCUGACAGAGGGUUUUGGUAGCUAGUGGGUAUUACUCAACCUAUUUGAGUUAUAGGUUUUUUCAUCUGAUUUAUGAUAUCUUGUUUCUUGUGGUGAACAUUUAGGCUUCUUGCACUGGCUACUUCCUUUGCUAAGGGUAUUAAUAGUCCAUAUACUGUGUCUAUAAAGAUUAAUAUAAAAAAGGCUUCUUGCUAAGUGUAUUCUUAAUUGUUUGCUUUAAGAGAAGGAGAAAGAUCAGUGGGUUGUUGCUUUUUAUUUUGGAGCAUAUAUACGACUAUAUAUUGCUUCUACUACAACUUUCUUUUCAUCUCGUAUCUUUCUUUCUUACUUGAUUUCUACAUGCAUCCAUCAUCAGUGUAUUUGCUUCUCUGCUGAUCUCUCAUUUCUCUCUGACCUUUUUUAAAAGAAAAGAAUACACCUUUAUUUUUAUUUUUUUCCUAUUGGGGGUUAUGCUUUAAAUUACCUUUUUUAUUCACAAUCAUUGAGUACAGGAGUAUACUUUCUAGUUAUUAAGAAGCACCACCAGUUAUUAAGGAGACUCCUGUUCUAGUUCAAGAUUCUGCAAAGAUUAAAGAAGCACCACCAGGUUCUUUCUCUUUUUCUCCUAUUAAAUUUGCAGCGCCAAAUCGAAAGUUACUGGAACUAGAUCAGAUGUUGAGGUGAGCUUCACUUGUGAAUUUGUUACUUGAGAUGAAGAAUACACUGUAUAUAGAUUAUGCUGUCACUAUUUUUUAUUUUUGUCAGAAUUUGAUACUUGGAAAACAGAUGAAAAAUGGAAAAAUAUAAGGAGGCAAAGAAGCCUGAGGCAGAGGAUCAAUUCAUGACCCCACUGUUUGAAUCAAUGGACACAAUAAUGAUGAAUGGUUUCUAUACAGAUGAAGUUCCAAUUUUAGAACCUAAUUAAGCAACUUUAUUGUAUAUUUUGACUUAAUUAGAGGACAAUAGUUGAUGUAUCAAUGCACUUUGUUGAUGUAUGGUUGUUACUUGUUAUUAUAAUUGAUGUAUCAACACUUUGUUUAUA